rnacentral:rRNA from 1 species
AUUGAACGCUGGCGGCGUGCCUAACACAUGCACGUCGAGCGAGAAAAGGGGAGCAAUCCCCUGAGUACAGCGGCGCACGGGUGAGUAACACGUGGGUAAUCUGCCCUGGAGUGGGGAAUAACACCGGGAAACCGGUGCUAAUACCGCAUACGAUCACAGAGUCUGCGGAUUUUGUGAUGAAAGGAGCAAUUCGCUCUAGGAGGAGCCCUCGGCUGAUUAGCUAGUUGGUGAGGUAAUGGCUAACCAAGGCGACGAUCAGUAUCCUGUAUGAGAGGACGGUCGGACACACUGGAACUGAGACACGGUCCAGACUCCUACGGGAGGCAGCAGUGGGGAAUAUUGGACAAUGGGCGCAAGCCUGAUCCAGCUAUGCCGCGUGGAUGAAGAAGGCCUUCGGGUUGUAAGGUCCUUUCGGCGGGGAAGAUAAUGACGGUACCCGCAGAAGAAGCCCCGGCUAAUUUCGUGCCAGCCGCCGCAGUAACAC